AUUUAUUUUGCAUGAGAAAUUGCUUGGUAAAUAUUUAUGUUUCCUCUAUUAUUGUAUUUAAGCAUGUUUUUGUUGCAAGUAACAGUAACUGACUGACUAUGCCGUAAGCAGAGAUGGAAAAGAUCAGAGGAGUCUCGGGAAACCCAGGAGGCAGAGCAGCAGAGAGGCCAGGCAGCACGGCUUUCUCUUUGCAGCGUAGAUGUGAGAAACGAGCGACGGGAGAAACAGUUUGGCCUCAGUGGAGACAGAUCCACUUGGCAUCAACUGUGGCCAAGGGGGCAGAUGGCACGCUAGACGCUGAGCGGCUGCAAGCCUGGCUUGGACCGUCAGGGAAGAAGCCAACAAAUGACAUUUCUGGUGAAGUCACGACAACGCAGUGUGCAUGGGGUAAAAAAUGGUUCCAUCGCCAAGAGCGUUAAGUUCUGCUCGUCAAUGAGGCAACUCGGACUUGACAGUUGAGGGUGUCAGGCCAACAUUCCUUCAGUGCAGAAAGAGCGAGCAGAGGGUCAGCUGUAGAAGCAAAGGUGUAGACAAUGAAAUCAAAUAGAUGACGUGGAGAGACCCAGUGUGCUCAAUCCACGGGAACUGCGAAAACCUUCUCGUCAGUGUGGUGGACUGAGCCCCACACGCUAAACAUGCUGGACGAAAUACACUGAGGGAAAAAGUUUUAAAUACAUCCCCAGGAGCACACACAGAAAGGAAAAUCCCCAGGUGCCUAAGCCAAGGAAACCAGCAUAAGAAGAGUCACCAGCUGCCGAAGAGGUGGGCAGGGGACCGAGGGCUGGCCAACCAAAAUGCACCCCUGCUGGCCACAGGGGUGAGUAUAAGAAAGUACAGUCUGAAGAAGGGCGGGUGCCCCAAGCUCGUCCCUACGUAUCUUUCCUGGAACUUUUUUCUGGAACUACCAGCACAAUCACUUUUUCUCCCUCCACUGGAGCUGCUAAGCUGUGUGGAUUUAGAGCUAGGAUUCUGGGCAUUGGCUUGUCCAGCAUGUGGAGAAAGUCUGCUGGAAAAUGGAGAGAAAUAUGGUCUCCUGAGGGCAUUGUUUGAGCCCCUGAAGCCACAUAAGCCCCUGGAUCGGUCGAUAAUGCACGUCAAUGAAUCCUUUUGUUCCUAAGCUAGUUCAAGUUGGAUUUGUAUACUAACCCAAUCAACCACCGCCUCCACUUCCCAAUCCUGCUGACCUCCUCGAGAGAACAACUGUCAACAGUUGGUGAAACUGCCCACCUGCCCUCACAAGGAAAAUACAGCAGACGUGACGCCAAGACACUUCCGAGACCAGGAUGGGCAAGGCAGCACAGCUUCUGACUGACCCCUGCUCUCCACAGAUGCUCCCCUCUGGGACUCGGCCACCUGUGGAGACCAGACAGGUGCUCCUGCAACAUCUUCAGCUGAGUCUCAGCUGGAAGCCAGCGCCAACCACCAUUCACAUGAGUGAGCAAGCCUGCAGGUGAUUCCAGCCCCAGGGGACGCCGAGUGAGCACAGCCGAGCGUCCCCACCCAGCCCUGUGCAAGUCACCGAUUCCUGAGCAAAUUAAUUUUGGGGCGGUUUGCUAGAUAGCAGUAGAUGACCAGAACCACGCUUAUGCAGACAUAGUUUGCUUUGAUUUGCUUUUUAUAUAAACAGGAUCAUAGCCUAUUGAUCUUCAACUAGCUAAUUUUUUUCGUGUGUAACACUUUGCCCUGGGGUUCUCUCCAUGUCAACAAAUAAAG
rnacentral:lncRNA from 1 species